CCCUUAGAUGUUCUGGGCCGCACGCGCGCUACACUGAUUCAUGCAACAAGUUUUGUCCUUGGCUGAUAGGCCUGGGUAAUCUUUGAACGUGAAUCGUGAUGGGGAUAGAUGAUUUCAAUUAUUCAUCUUCAACGAGGAAUUCCUAGUAAACGCAAGUCAUCAGCUUGCAUUGAUUACGUCCCUGCCCUUUGUACACACCGCCCGUCGCACCUACCGAUUGAAUGGUCCGGUGAAAUCUUCGGAUCUGAGAGAUGUCUGAUUAAUUUCGGACGCCUUUUGGAAAAGUUGUUUAAACCUUACCAUUUAGAGGAAGGUGAANUCGUAACA
rnacentral:rRNA from 1 species